rnacentral:rRNA from 1 species
AUUGAACGCUGGCGGCAUGCCUUACACAUGCAAGUCGAACGGUAACAGGUCUUCGGAUGCUGACGAGUGGCGAACGGGUGAGUAAUACAUCGGAACGUGCCCGAGAGUGGGGGAUAACGAAGCGAAAGCUUUGCUAAUACCGCAUACGAUCUCAGGAUGAAAGCAGGGGACCGCAAGGCCUUGCGCUCACGGAGCGGCCGAUGGCAGAUUAGGUAGUUGGUGGGAUAAAAGCUUACCAAGCCGACGAUCUGUAGCUGGUCUGAGAGGACGACCAGCCACACUGGGACUGAGACACGGCCCAGACUCCUACGGGAGGCAGCAGUGGGGAAUUUUGGACAAUGGGCGCAAGCCUGAUCCAGCCAUGCCGCGUGCAGGAUGAAGGCCUUCGGGUUGUAAACUGCUUUUGUACGGAACGAAAAGACUCCUUCUAAUAAAGGGGGUCCAUGACGGUACCGUAAGAAUAAGCACCGGCUAACUACGUGCCAGCAGCCGCAGUAAUAC